rnacentral:rRNA from 1 species
GACGAACGCUGGCGGCGUGCCUAAUACAUGCAAGUCGAGCGAACAGACCCGGCGCUUGCUCCUCUCACGUUAGCGGCGGACGGGUGAGUAACACGUGGAUCACCUACCUAUCAGACUGGGAUCACCUCGGGACACGGGAGCUAAUCCCGGAUAAGCUAUUGAACCGCAUGGUUCGAUGGUGAAAGACGGCGCUGGGGUCUCUUAUCGCUGGUUCCGCGCGGCAUUAGCUAGUUGGUACGGUAACGGGUUACCAAGGCGAGGAGGCGUAGCCGACCGGUGAGGGUGAUCGGCCGCACGGGAACGGAGACACGGACCAGAGGCCUGCGGGAGGCAGCAGUAGGGAAUGUGCGGCAAUGGUCGAAAGCCUGACGGAGCAACGCCGCGUGAGGGAUGAAGGUCUUCGGAGCGUAAAGCUCUGUUAUUGGGGAAGAACAACUGUGUGAGGAGCUGUGGCCGGCUUGACGGUACCGAAUCAGAAAGCCACGGCUAACUACGUG